AACCGUUCAUUCCCUAUCUUGAAGCAAAUGUUAAAAAAAUGCAUGUGAGGAAAUAAAUUCAAAAACAUUUAGGUCGAAAAGAAAGAAAAUAGAGAAGCGAUUCACAUAACAAUCUUGGUUUUGUUUAAUAGUGUAAAUCGUUUAUAAAAGUAUGUUUUUGUAUUAGAUAAUUAAAUAAAAUUUAAAUUACACUAGCUUGGAAAUAUGUAUUUCAAUUUGAUUUAUACUAUGAUAAAGAAGAAUAAAUAUUUUGGUGAUAGGUAAUAGGUAUAUCAAUACAAUUCUUUUCAUGAUCUGCCUUUCUGUUAACUGCACCGGUUCGUUCCGAUAUCUUUCACUCAUAGCCAUUGUGAUCUUAUAAGUCAAAUUUAUUAGCUAACGCAUAGCGGGGGUGAAUUGCCCCGGGCUUGGUUGUAAAUCUAAAAAAGCAUACAGUCCGUAUAUUAAGACUGGAUGACUAAUUGAGAAAGUAAUUUCCUAAGAUAAUUCCAUACGCAAUGAAUCUAUAUAACUACAUCACGUGGCAUAAUAACGUUAACGAUGCAUUAUAUUUAUUGAAAAGAGAUUAACAACAUGACUAAUUAUUUUCUUAGUCCCCAUUAGCAAAAUUAAACAACAUUCAUUCUAUAAGCCAUAUUCCUACAACGAAAAGUGUCCCAGUAACUUUGAUCUGACAUUAUAAUUUCCCAUGGAUCGAUGCAUACACUUCUCCCAUAAAACAUUACAUGUGCAUUUAUGAACUAAAAUUGAUAACGUCAUUAACGUUUCCCAUUAAAAUGUAUCCUUAAGCUAUUUGAUAUAAACGCGUGAUUUAACUCGUAAUCAUACAUUACAUGUAUUUAUAAAACUCAACGGUCUUUCCUAAGCAUAUCUUGGAACACACGGGAAUCAAAGUUAAAGUUUAAAAGCAUUUUCAGUUUUGUGAGUUAAAUUGCUUUCCAUCUCGCUGAGCAUUUACUUAUCACAUCAUGUAAGUCUGAGAGUAUUGAGUAUGUUUACGCCAGAAAUAGUGAAAUAAAUACAUUCUACGAUUUACAGGUAUAAUAUCGUAGAUUAUAAUGAUGUAUUAAAGUAAACACAUUGAAAAUAGUAGUAAUUGUAAACUAAUCUUAAUAGAAUUGAGGAAAAAGAAUGCAUGUUCUUAUGCUCUCUUCUAGGUAGAUACAAUAUACAGGUAUUAAGCUUUGUAUGUCUUCAGUGCCGGUGUAAGAAGAACGGGAACCUACAUAGCUCUGGACAUUCUGACCAAAGAGGGGGAAGCAGUAAGAGCAAUAGAUAUCCCGGGAUGUGUUCUCAAUAUGAGACAGAACAGACCAAGCAUGAUUCAGACUUUGAGCCAAUACAAGUAUCUACACCAAGCUUUGGUCCAUUCAUUGACACUUGAUUGAUCGUUGAUAAAAAGAGAACACUACCAUGAAUAUAUGCAUAUGAUGUCCAGCAAACAGGAAAUACAGAAGCAGUUUGAGAAAAUGCAAAUAAACCAAGAGCAAAAGUCGGAUCAGGAACUACAGGCUACGGAAAAGAAUCGGCUUCUAGUAAAAAUGAACAGGAAACACGCAGAUAUACCAGGUGAUGCCAACAGACCACGUCUUUAUCUGUUUUUUAAAACCAGGCGAAUCUGAUUACAUCAAUGCGAUAUACAUCAACAGUUUCAAAACAAAGAACCGCUUAUUGGUUGCACAAACACCUCUACCUGACACAGUUUCCGAUUUCAUUGCACUUGUUGUUCAAGAAAACUGUUCCUGUAUUGUUAGUAUGAAAGCACAGGGGAUUGGCUUGUACGUUCCUGGUGACUAUCAACCAAUGACGAAAGGUGUGAUUACCAUACUUUCCACAAGAGUUCAAAGUACGAGACCCUUUGUAAAAAGAGAGCUGCAUUUUAAACACGACGGAAAGACCAAGUCGGAGGUGAGAAUACCACACUAUGAAUAUAUAGAUUUGGAUAGAAAUUACAAUACUCCCAAGUCAGCAGAGCACUUUGUUGCCUUCAUCAAAGAGGUUGAAAACGCAUCCAAAUCAUCCCCCUUGAACGGACCGAUACUGGAACAGCGCUGGUAAGAGCGGACUUUUAUGUGUUGUCUCGACAUUACUUGAAACACUGAGUGAAGAUAAUGAAGUCAGUGUGGUCAAUGCGGUAAGGAAAGUCAGAGCAAGACGACCGCUUUCCAUUCCAAAUAAGGAACAAUUUUACUUUUGCUACGAAUGUGUUCUCCAAUCCUUGAAUGCAAAAGAUGACGCUGUGAACUACAACACAAGUGCGGGUAUCAAGAGGAAAUGAACACGGCUGACCAUUUUGAUACAAUUUUUGACGUCGAACGUUGCCCUUUUCAAGAACACAUGAAUAUUUACAUCCUAUAUAUAUUGGCAAUACUCAUUAAUUUUACAGACCUAAAUUUCAUACCGUCUAUGCAGAAUACUUUGAAUAAGAUAUUCAUGAAUUAAAAAAUCAUUUGGACGAAAAAUAUAGAAAAUAUGUAAGAAGUCCACGUAAUUCUGGAUCACCCCUCGUAUGACAUGUUUAGCUACAUUACUUAUAAUUUGCAGACAUGGUGACACUUGUAAACAUAACAUAAUUGCAGUUCUGCAUCACCGUAAUCACAUACAUUACAAAACACUAGUGUUUAUCUGUCUAUCUGUCUAUCUGAACAUUGUUUUGUGAAUAUCAUUGUAACUAUUUGCAGAAUUACUGCUAUCAUUGCUUGAACCAUAAUUUAGUGUAUUGUAUUUGAUCAAAACGAGAUCCCAAAGGAGAGGCAUUAAUUCAAACUUAUCGUGCGAUAGGUACCAUUUGAUAGGAUACAGCGAUUGUUCAAUGUAUGCACAUCACUUUCUGCACAGUAAGCUUGUCGAUAUAAUAAACAAAAUAUACCACACGGAACCCUCGUGAUUGAAACUGGAACUUUGAUGCAGCAAGUGUUGCUUUAAUGUUUCAUAAACGCAUUGUAUAUUUUAAUUAUCAUGUUGUUUACAUUAUGUGUAUUGAAUUAUGCUGGUUGCCUUUGUAGAAGCAUCUUUGAAUACACAAUAAAUGAGCAACUUGUACAAAAAAAUGUCCAAGCGAUUAAACAUGAUUUGUUUCAUUUUUAUAAAAAAAAAUGUUGUAUUUAAACGAGCCUUUAAGUUUGUUUUAAAUGGUUUAAAGACGAGAUGUAUUGUACGAGAAGAUUUGCACUUAACAUAAUAGUGUAUUGAAUAUUUAAGCCUUUGCAUAACUGUUGCUUCAUAGCAUAAUUAAUUAUUUUAUAGAAGUUAUAUUUUUAUCUAAAAAUAGUUUUCUGAUAGUAUUCUAUGUUUUCUACGAACUUGCAUUGGCCUUAAACAUACACUUUAAAUAAUCCGUAUAACAUUAAACAGUUAAUUUAAAAAUAAUUGCAUUAUUAUUGAUCAAAAGGCAGAAUGUGGAAAGGCAAACAUGUCCAAGGGAACAAAAAAUAUCACGCCUAAGUCAAUCUUAUAUGACAUUAAUAUCAAAGUGAAUUGAUGAAUCUGAAAACAGGAUUUUUGUCUGUUUACUUUUUUCUUUGUUAUUUUUCAUUGUAUUAAAGCAUUUUUUGUAUUGAAAUGUUUUAAUAAAGUUCCAUAAAGACCUGUUUCAAACAUACAUGUUGUAUAUAUCCUAAUACCGAAUAAAAUAUCUU